UACGUAGGGUGCAAGCGUUGUCCGGAAUUAUUGGGCGUAAAGAGCUCGUAGGCGGUUUGUCGCGUCGACUGUGAAAUCUCCGGGCUUAACUCGGAACGGCCAAGUGAAACUGUCAAGCUAGAGUGCAGAAGGGGCAAUCGGAAUUCUUGGUGUAGCGGUGAAAUGCGUAGAUAUCAAGAGGAACACCUGAGGUGAAGACGGGUUGCUGGGCUGACACUGACGCUGAGGCGCGAAAGCCAGGGGAGCAAACGGG
rnacentral:rRNA from 1 species